rnacentral:tRNA from 1 species
CAAGGAAUAGUUUAUGUAGAAUUUCAGCUUUGGGUGUUGAAGGUGGAGUGCGAUGCUUCUUCCUUGA